CAAACCAAAGCUGGCGACCGGCGCACGGGUGAGUAACACGUAUCCAACCUGCCUCAUACUCGGGGAUAGCCUUUCGAAAGAAAGAUUAAUAUCCGAUAGCAUAUAUUUCCCGCAUGGGUUUUAUAUUAAAGAAAUUCGGUAUGAGAUGGGGAUGCGUUCCAUUAGUUUGUUGGGGGGGUAACGGCCCACCAAGACUACGAUGGAUAGGGGUUCUGAGAGGAACGCCCCCCACAUUGGAACUGAGACACGGUCCAA
rnacentral:rRNA from 1 species